rnacentral:rRNA from 1 species
GCAAGUCGAGGGGUAACGAUGUUUUCGGACAGGCGACGACCGGCGCACGGGUGAGUAACGCGUAUGCAACCUACCUUUAACAGGGAGAUAGCCCGAAGAAAUUCGGAUUAAUAUCCCAUAACACCACAGUGUCUCAUGGCACCAUGGUUAAAGCUCCGGCGGUUAAAGAUGGGCAUGCGUGUCAUUAGUUUGUUGGUGAGGUAACGGCUCACCAAGACUACGAUGACUAGGGGGUCUGAGAGGAUGGUC